UACGUAGGGUGCAAGCGUUGUCCGGAAUUAUUGGGCGUAAAGAGCUCGUAGGCGGUCUGUUGCGUCGGCUGUGAAACCCGAGGCUCAACCUCGGCCUGCAGCCGAUACGGGCAGACUAGAGUUCGGCAGGGAGACUGGAAUUCCUGGUGUAGCGGUGAAAGUGCGCAGAUAUCAGGAGGAACACCAGUGGCGAAGGCACGAGUCCCUGGACGAACAC
rnacentral:rRNA from 1 species